GGUAUGUUUCUCCAAGUGCACACGCGUGAAAGCCAGGCAUUAUGGACUGGAGUGCAACAGGGUUGGAGGGCGUUUUUAAGUAGUAUAGAGCGGUGUUCAAGGAUACACAUUAGAAAGAACAUCGAUUGGGUAUCAUACCACAAAGGCAUGUGAAACACUGCGAGGGACGUUUGUACCGGUGAUCGAGUUUCUACUCUGGCCCAUCAGCUGAAUAGGUGGGGCUUGAUCAAUGGCAGGAAACUGAAGGAUCAAAUGUCAUAAAAUGGUGCCAGGCUGCGACAUGAAGGCGGGGGCCAUGAAACCAUACCCUCAUCAUCAGACUGUACAGUAGAGAGACAGAGUUACACUCCCGGUGUAAGCAGGGCAUAAAAAUACUGCUGCAUGAUAAGGAGCUGCACAGGGACUUUGAACAUUUUAUUAGUAUCUAUAAAAGAGGCACAGGACGAAGGACGCGGUGUCUAUAAAGCCUUAAUGGAGGAUCAAUUAAGAUGGUCAAGCUGCUGAAAGAGACUUUUACAGUGUAGGGUUUUAACACUAACCUUGUCCUUUAACACUAACGUUAAAACCACAAGGCUGGAAAAUUCGGCUUAAUUUUCAUUCCAUUGCAUCAUCAAUAUUUUCUGAUCAGAAACAGUAAAAAUGUUUGUUAGUUUGAGUAAGAAUUUAAAAGUGAGCGGUGGGUCAAGGAGAAUUUCAACCUGCUUAAGUACAGAAUAAAACCUGUAAUAUGCUACUCACACACUAAUCAGAAUUUAUAAUCUACUUAACUAAUUAUAGAUUAUCUUGCAUUAUUUAAGUUACUUUAGAUUUGAACAUGUAAUAUAUAUAUAAAAAAUAAGAAAAAGGUAUUUAAUUUCCAUUUUCAUUAUUCUGAAAUAUCAUUAAAAAAAUGUGUAUUAGGGAAACUUAAAAAUAAAGCAGUAUUAAAAUAUAUACAAUUAUUCAAUGAAUAUGUAAAAGAUAAUCAACAGACUGUAUAGACAAUAGACAAUAUUCAUGUUUUGAAAAAUAUUUGAAACAAUAUUGCUUGUAUCACUCAUCUGUGUUUACUGAAUAUGUGUAAGAUCUGUAUUUUUAAACCUCUAUUCGGUAUUCUGGUGUGUGUGUGUGUGUGUGUGUGUGUGUUUUAUUUUGACCUCAUCAGUCAGAUGGUUUCAUUAUUUAAUGUGUAUUUGAGUUUCUCUAAAGGCAGAUAGUGUAUCACAACACAUAUUUCUGGUCAAAACUAAUAAGACCCUAUUAAUUUCUGCAUCUUCCAAACCUUCCCCCAAUCCCCAGUCUCUCUUUCUGUCGGGAUAUAGCAUGACAAAUUGAAUUACUUUUUGAACACACGACUGGCCAUCUAUCAAAAACAAGUCAAAAAUCUUCCCUGCGCAUGUUUAUGAAAGACAUUUCUAAACUCUUCCUGACCUGAAAUGUUUAUAUCCAGAGUUUACGUUGUGAACAUUUUAGAUGUCAUCAAAACCACCUUGCUCCAGGGGUAUAAAUUGAUUCCAUUUGUUGCCUGCCCAAGCGACUGGCCUCGGCCGCAGGAGCCAUACGAGGAGGAAACCGAGAAGCUGGAGAAAUCAGUUCUAAGAGGAGACACCGUGGACUUUCAGAGGGCUUCGUGAUGAGUGAAAAUCAGGGAUGGGGUUCAGUGGGAAAUCGCAUGCCAUGCCUCAAUCAGCAACAUGUCCCAACAACCAGGGAGGCAUGUGUCAAUCAAACCGAUGUGGGUUUGUGGGCAACCAGUGAAUCAGUAGUAAGGCUUUUAAGCCAUCAUUAAAGAAAAACUCAGAGAUGCUCUGCUGCACUGAUGUUAUACAUGUUAAUAUCAUACUGCCAAUAAUACCAUAAGACCAGGGGCAUCAUGUGCUCUUUAUGUUUUUUGGAUGGGACACAGAUGGCAGUUUUUGUUCAAUGCUUUAAGAUUAUGAAGAAAAAAAGUUUACUUAGUACUUCUGUUGUGUAAAUUUUGAUUUCUGCAUUCUAACAAGGAUAAGAAAUAAAGGACCAGUUUUGACAUUUUUUAAGCAAAAAAAAAAAAGGGAGGAUUGAUGAUGGCAUAAUUCCAAAAUAUCUUGA